UACGUAGGGUGCAAGCGUUAAUCGGAAUUACUGGGCGUAAAGCGUGCGCAGGCGGUUAUAUAAGUCAGAUGUGAAAUCCCUGGGCUCAACCUAGGAACUGCAUUUGAGACUGUAUGGCUAGAGUGUGUCAGAGGGGGGUAGAAUUCCACGUGUAGCAGUGAAAUGCGUAGAUAUGUGGAGGAAUACCGAUGGCGAAGGCAGCCCCCUGGGAUAACACUGACGCUCAUGCACGAAAGCGUGGGGAGCAAACAGGAUUAGAUACCCUGGUAGUCCACGCCCUAAACGAUGUCUACUAGUUGUCGGGAUUUAAUUAUCUUGGUAACGCAGCUAACGCGUGAAGUAGACCGCCUGGGGAGUACGGUCGCAAGAUUA
rnacentral:rRNA from 1 species